AUGGCUUUGUUCUUCAAUAAAAUCUAGGGUAUACAGAUCUCUCACCCUCUCUAUAUCUUCUCUAUAUUUUUGGUGCAGUUAUUUGUACUUAGAUUUCAUGUAUUUAAUUAUAUGGCAAGAAAGAAGCCGAUAGCUUUUUGUUGGUUUGGAAUACUAUUAGCAGGCCAACAAAAUCUUGCAACAUUUGCUUUUACUGCAGGUACCAAAAUCUCCCUUGAGCUUCGAUUCUCAACUGCAAAUGUCUCUGCACCUCCAUCUGCUGCUGGAUAGUGUUUAUCUGUUUCUGACCUUUCGAUUUGUCGUGGUUAAAGGCAUGUGAUUGCUGACUUUCUUGGUUUUCAGUUUUGAACAGUUAAGUUAAUGGUAUUAACUUUACUACUUAUUUCAACUUCUCUAUUUUUCUAAAGUUAUGAAGGGAUAGGAAUUGCCUUGAAAACUGCAGCAGCAACUUGAGGAACAAGAUCAGAUUUCAAGCAAAAGUGUGGAUACUGUUGUUUCAGGUCCUUCAACAUUUCUUAAGCACAAAUAAUUCGGUUAUGGGUCAAUUGCUUGUAUUAUGAAUUGCUUAAGCGUAGAUAAUUGGGAAUUGGUCAUUAAAACCAUAUGUUGAGCUAAACCACAAAUGAUGUUAUUAUAGUUAUCUUGCUGAUAUUCUUUGUUGGCUCUUUGUAUGCUUUUGUGGCAGGUUUGUGGUGGUGGAUUAAAUGAGCCGUACGUUGAGCUGAAGAGGCUUGUGAAUUCACAAGAAAAGUUAUACCAGAUGGCUAGCUAGUUGCAUAUUUAAUAUAUUUAGUAUUUUUGUAAGGCAUAAUAGUAUUAGAUAGAGCAUUUGUUGAAUUUUGACUAUAUUCAAAUGAUGUAUGAAUUCUUUUUUAUGAUAAUAAUAUAUGGAUUUUGAUUAUUUUAUUUUAGAAUCAUUUUUAUUUAUUGAAAUAGUAAAUAAGUAAAAUUGUGAAAAA
rnacentral:lncRNA from 1 species